GACGGGUGAGUAACGCGUGGGUAACCUGCCUCCUUCAGGGGGAUAACAGUUGGAAACGACUGCUAAUACCGCAUAAGCGCACAGGAUCGCAUGGUCCGGUGUGAAAAACUCCGGUGGUAUGGGAUGGACCCGCGUCUGAUUAGCCAGUUGGCAGGGUAACGGCCUACCAAAGCGACGAUCAGUAGCCGACCUGAGAGGGUGACCGGCCACAUUGGGACUGAGACACGGCCCAAACUCCUACGGGAGGCAGCAGUGGGGAAUAUUGCACAAUGGGGGAAACCCUGAUGCAGCGACGCCGCGUGAGCGAAGAAGUAUUUCGGUAUGUAAAGCUCUAUCAGCAGGGAAGAAGAAUGACGGUACCUGACUAAGAAGCACCGGCUAAAUACGUGCCAGCAGCCGCGGUAAUACGUAUGGUGCAAGCGUUAUCCGGAUUUACUGGGUGUAAAGGGAGCGCAGGCGGUGCGGCAAGUCUGAUGUGAAAGCCCGGGGCUCAACCCCGGUACUGCAUUGGAAACUGUCGUACUAGAGUGUCGGAGGGGUAAGUGGAAUUCCUAGUGUAGCGGUGAAAUGCGUAGAUAUUAGGAGGAACACCAGUGGCGAAGGCGGCUUACUGGACGAUAACUGACGCUGAGGCUCGAAAGCGUGGGGAGCAAACAGGAUUAGAUACCCUG
rnacentral:rRNA from 1 species